rnacentral:rRNA from 1 species
AAAGCGCGCGUAGGUGGUUCGUUAAGUUGAAUGUGAAAUCCCCGGGCUCAACCUGGGAACUGCAUCCAAAACUGGCGAGCUAGAGUAUGGUAGAGGGUGGUGGAAUUUCCUGUGUAGCGGUGAAAUGCGUAGAUAUAGGAAGGAACACCAGUGGCGAAGGCGACCACCUGGACUGAUACUGACACUGAGGUGCGAAAGCGUGGGGAGCAAACAGGAUUAGAUACCCGGGU